UCUCCUGGAAACGGGUGGUAAUGCCGGAUGUUCCACAUGAGCGCAUGCGAGUGUGGGAAAGGCUUUUUGCGGCAUGGGAUGGGGUCGCGUCCUAUCAGCUUGUUGGUGGGGUAACGGCCUACCAAGGCGUUGACGGGUAGCCGGCCUGAGAGGGCGACCGGCCACAUUGGGACUGAGAUACGGCCCAGACUCCUACGGGAGGCAGCAGUGGGGAAUAUUGCACAAUGGGCGCAAGCCUGAUGCAGCGACGCCGCGUGCGGGAUGGAGGCCUUCGGGUUGUAAACCGCUUUUGUUCAAGGGCAAGGCACGGUUUCGGCCGUGUUGAGUGGAUUGUUCGAAUAAGCACCGGCUAACUACGUGCCAGCAGCCGCGGUAAUACGUAGGGUGCAAGCGUUAUCCGGAUUUAUUGGGCGUAAAGGGCUCGUAGGCGGUUCGUCGCGUCCGGUGUGAAAGUCCAUCGCUUAACGGUGGAUCCGCGCCGGGUACGGGCGGGCUUGAGUGCGGUAGGGGAGACUGGAAUUCCCGGUGUAACGGUGGAAUGUGUAGAUAUCGGGAGAACACCAA
rnacentral:rRNA from 1 species